rnacentral:rRNA from 1 species
GAUGAACGCUAGCUACAGGCUUAACACAUGCAAGUCGAACGGAGUGCUCAUGACAGAGGAUUCGUCCAAUGGAAUGAGUUACUUAGUGGCGGACGGGUGAGUAACGCGUGAGUAACCUGCCUUGGAGUGGGGAAUAACACAACGAAAGCUGUGCUAAUACCGCAUAAUGCAGCUGAGUCGCAUGGCUCUGGCUGCCAAAGAUUUAUCGCUCUGAGAUGGACUCGCGUCUGAUUAGCUAGUUGGCGGGGUAACGGCCCACCAAGUCAACGAUCAGUAGCCGGUCUGAGAGGAUGAACGGCCACAUUGGGACUGAGAUACGGCCCAG